CUGCCUGAUUGUGCAUGAUGAGGAACUCCCCUUCUAUUAAAGAAAAUAAGGUUUUGUCUUUCCUGGAGUACUGAGAGGCUGGCUGAAGAACAGUGUUAAAGGCUUCAAUUUGCUUUUCUUAAGAUUACUAAGGGAAGAAACAUAGGAAUGCAAGAUCAUAUCAGGUUACAAAUGUAGCAUGGCAAAAAUCUAAAUGCUGAGGAUACACCUCAGCAUAUUUUGAUGUAAUUUAACUUAGUUGUUUAUAAAGUACUAUUUAUUAUCUUCUUAAUAAUUACU